rnacentral:rRNA from 1 species
CGGGACACGUGGUAUCCUGUCUGAAUAUGGGGGGACCAUCCUCCAAGGCUAAAUACUCCUGACUGACCGAUAGUGAACCAGUACCGUGAGGGAAAGGCGAAAAGAACCCCGGCGAGGGGAGUGAAAAAGAACCUGAAACCGUGUACGUACAAGCAGUGGGAGCACGCUUAGGCGUGUGACUGCGUACCUUUUGUAUAAUGGGUCAGCGACUUAUAUUCUGUAGCAAGGUUAACCGAAUAGGGGAGCCGAAGGGAAACCGAGUCUUAACUGGGCGUUAAGUUGCAGGGUAUAGACCCGAAACCCGGUGAUCUAGCCAUGGGCAGGUUGAAGGUUGGGUAACACUAACUGGAGGACCGAACCGACUAAUGUUGAAAAAUUAGCGGAUGACUUGUGGCUGGGGGUGAAAGGCCAAUCAAACCGGGAGAUAGCUGGUUCUCCCCGAAAGCUAUUUAGGUAGCGCCUCGUGAAUUCAUCUCCGGGGGUAGAGCACUGUUUCGGCAAGGGGGUCAUCCCGACUUACCAACCCGAUGCAAACUGCGAAUACCGGAGAAUGUUAUCACGGGAGACACACGGCGGGUGCUAACGUCCGUCGUGAAGAGGGAAACAACCCAGACCGCCAGCUAAGGUCCCAAAGUCAUGGUUAAGUGGGAAACGAUGUGGGAAGGCCCAGACAGCCAGGAUGUUGGCUUAGAAGCAGCCAUCAUUUAAAGAAAGCGUAAUAGCUCACUGGUCGAGUCGGCCUGCGCGGAAGAUGUAACGGGGCUAAACCAUGCACCGAAGCUGCGGCAGCGACGCUGAUGCGUUGUUGGGUAGGGGAGCGUUCUGUAAGCCUGUGAAGGUGU